UACGUAGGGUGCAAGCGUUGUCCGGAAUUAUUGGGCGUAAAGAGCUCGUAGGCGGUUCGUCGCGUCGGCUGUGAAAACCUGAGGCUCAACCUCAGGCCUGCAGUCGAUACGGGCGGACUUGAGUACUGCAGGGGAGAACGGAAUUCCCGGUGUAGCGGUGAAAUGCGCAGAUAUCGGGAGGAACACCGGUGGCGAAGGCGGUUCUCUGGGCCUGUACUGACGCUGAGGAGCGAAAGCGUGGGGAGCGAACAGG
rnacentral:rRNA from 1 species